rnacentral:rRNA from 1 species
AGGUUCGUCCGCCCUGGGUUAGUCGGGACCUAAGCUGAGGCCGAAAGGCGUAGGUGAUGGACAACAGGGUGAUAUUCCUGUACUACCGAUAACCGUUUGAGAGAAGGGAUGACACAGUAGGAUAAGCUAAGCACCUGUCGCUUAU